UAAGCCGUUGAAGGUGUGUCGUGAGGCAUGCUGGAGGUAUCAGAAGUGCGAAUGCUGACAUAAGUAACGAUAAAGCGGGUGAAAAGCCCGCUCGCCGGAAGACCAAGGGUUCCUGUCCAACGUUAAUCGGGGCAGGGUGAGUCGACCCCUAAGGCGAGGCCGAAAGGCGUAGUCGAUGGGAAACGGGUUAAUAUUCCCGUACUUGGUGUUACUGCGAAGGGGGGACGGAGAAGGCUAUGUUGGCCGGGCGACGGUUGUCCCGGUUUAAGCGUGUAGGUGUGUGUUCCAGGUAAAUCCGGUUCACUUUAACACUGAGGCGUGACGACGAGGCACCACGGUGCUGAAGCAACAAAUGCCCUGCUUCCAGGAAAAGCCUCUAAGCCUCAGGUAACAUCAAAUCGUACCCCAAACCGACACAGGUGGUCAGGUAGAGAAUACCAAGGCGCUUGAGAGAACUCGGGUGAAGGAACUAGGCAAAAUGGUGCCGUAACUUCGGGAGAAGGCACGCUGACACGUAGGUGAAGUGGUUUACCCAUGGAGCUGAAGUCAGUCGAAGAUACCAGCUGGCUGCAACUGUUUAUUAAAAACACAGCACUGUGCAAACACGAAAGUGGACGUAUACGGUGUGACGCCUGCCCGGUGCCGGAAGGUUAAUUGAUGGGGUCAGCGCAAGCGAAGCUCCUGAUCGAAGCCCCGGUAAACGGCGGCCGUAACUAUAACGGUCCUAAGGUAGCGAAAUUCCUUGUCGGGUAAGUUCCGACCUGCACGAAUGGCGUAAUGAUGGCCAGGCUGUCUCCACCCGGGACUCAGUGAAAUUGAACUCGCUGUGAAGAUGCAGUGUACCCGCGGCAAGACGGAAAGACCCCGUGAACCUUUACUAUAGCUUGACACUGAACACUGGUCCUUGAUGUGCAGGAUAGGUGGGAGGCUUUGAAGUGUGGACGCCAGUCUGCAUGGAGCCAUCCUUGAAAUACCACCCUUUAAUGGCUGGUGUUCUAACGUGGGCCCGUGAACCGGGUUGCGGACAGUGUCUGGUGGGUAGUUUGACUGGGGCGGUCUCCUCCUAAAGAGUAACGGAGGAGCACGAAGGUUGGCUAAUCCUGGUCGGACAUCAGGAGGUUAGUGCAAUGGCAUAAGCCAGCUUGACUGCGAGCGUGACGGCGCGAGCAGGUGCGAAAGCAGGUCAUAGUGAUCCGGUGGUUCUGAAUGGAAGGGCCAUCGCUCAACGGAUAAAAGGUACUCCGGGGAUAACAGGCUGAUACCGCCCAAGAGUUCAUAUCGACGGCGGUGUUUGGCACCUCGAUGUCGGCUCAUCACAUCCUGGGGCUGAAGUAGGUCCCAAGGGUAUGGCUGUUCGCCAUUUAAAGUGGUACGCGAGCUGGGUUUAGAACGUCGUGAGACAGUUCGGUCCCUAUCUGCCGUGGGCGCUGGAAGAUUGAGGGGGGCUGCUCCUAGUACGAGAGGACCGGAGUGGACGCAUCACUGGUGUUCGGGUUGUCAUGCCAAUGGCACUGCCCGGUAGCUACAUGCGGAAGAGAUAAGUGCUGAAAGCAUCUAAGCACGAAACUUGCCCCGAGAUGAAUCUUCCCUGAGCCUUUAAGGCUCCUGAAGGAACGUUGAAGACGACGACGUUGAUAGGCCGGGUGUGUAAGCGCAGCGAUGCGUUGAGCUAACCGGUACUAAUGAACCGUGAGGCUUAACCUU
rnacentral:rRNA from 1 species